AUCAGGCGCUCAAUACCCACAAAUCUACCUGAUCAUCAGACGCCUUCAGUAGUGUUCGUUUUCUCUGUCCACCAAGUUUUUAGUUGGGGAAGUUGUCUUUGGUGAUUCUGAACAACUACUCAGUAUGCACAGGUCGAACGCCAUAAGGGUUUCUCAGAAAGCUGGUGAAGACAUAGACUGGGAAUUGAGGCCAGGAGGAAUGCUUGUUCAGAAGAGGGAUGAUGGGGUGCUGUCCUCUGGGCCUCUGAUAAGGAUCAAGGUCUCUCAUGGCAAUUACCAACAUGAGAUUAGUAUACCUGCUCAGGCUACUUUUGGGGAUCUGAAGAAGGUGGUUGCCCAGGAGACGGGAUUAGAACCUCAAGAACAGAGGCUUUUAUUCAGAGGCAAAGAAAAGGAUAAUCAUGAGUGUUUGCACAUGGUUGGGGUCAAGGACAUGUCGAAGGUGAUUCUUUUGGAGGACCCUGCAAGCAAAGAAAGGAAAUUGGAGCAAAUGAGGAAGGAUCAGGGGAUUUCCAGUGCCUGUGAGGCUGUUGGACAAGUUAGAGGACAGGUUGAUAAGCUCUCGGAAAAGGUCGCAGCCUUGGAGGGGGCAGUGCGCGGUGGCUCGAAGGUGGCCGAUAAGGAAUUUGUGGUGUUGACGGAAAUGUUCAUGGUCCAGCUACUGAAGUUGGACAGCAUUGAGGCUGAAGGAGAAGCCAAAGUGCAAAGAAGAAUAGAGGUGCGCAGAGUCCAGAACUUUGUGGACACACUCGAUAUGCUCAAGGCAAGAAAUGCUAACCCAUUCAGCUGCAGUAGCAACACUGUCUCCGUCACAACCAAGUGGGAGACAUUUGGCUCUGGUGUUGGAAGCUUGAGUGCUCCACGUCCAAUGUCAUCCUCAACAAAGAUAACCCAAGACUGGGAACAGUUUGAAUAGAAAUCCUUGGACUUAUAUAAAUCCUGUUUAUUCAGCAUUAUACCAUUUCGAAUUUGUUGGCGCCGCGUCUCUUCUGCAUGUCUUCAUGGGCUACAUCAUCUCCACAUGAUUUCUUCCUCUUUACAUUUCUGAGUGCCAAUAGCCAGUAAGAGAAUCCAAGAAAGGGAUGCAGGCCCUCAGGACAGAAUUACGGACAAUGAAGAUGCCGUGGACUGUGGAUGCACAGUCGGAAUGAACAUCUGGUUCUAGUCGCAUUCUGAUUUAAAUUUUAUUUUUUUAAAAACAGAAUUCAGAUUUGACUAAGUAUCUGUUUAUAUGUAAUCGGUCGGUUUCAAGUAGACAUUUGAUUCAAAUUUGAAGUCAUGAAUUGGAAUUGGAACCACCCAGAACCCCAUUUGACUAGGAAAAUUCAAAAUCUUGUAGAUAUAUUGCAGUUA